rnacentral:rRNA from 1 species
UACGAAGGGGGCUAGCGUUGCUCGGAAUUACUGGGCGUAAAGCGCACGUAGGCGGCUUUCUAAGUCGGGGGUGAAAUCCUGGAGCUCAACUCCAGAACUGCCUUCGAUACUGGAAAGCUCGAGUCCGGGAGAGGUGAGUGGAACUGCGAGUGUAGAGGUGAAAUUCGUAGAUAUUCGGAAGAACACCAGUGGCGAAGGCGACUCACUGGCCCAUUACUGACGCUGAGGCUCGAAAGCGUGGGGAGCAAACAGGG